AUUGCUUCUUAAGUGUAGUAUCUGUUCUUAGUUUAAUAUCUGAUACGUCCUCUAUCCGAGGACAAUAUAUUAAAUGGAUUUGGGGAGCAGGGAGAUGGAAUAGGAGCUUGCUCCAUCCAUCUCAUGAAUUCCACCACAU
rnacentral:snRNA from 1 species